rnacentral:rRNA from 1 species
UACAGAGGGUGCAAGCGUUGUUCGGAAUUAUUGGGCGUAAAGCGCGUGUAGGCGGCUUUGCAAGUCGGGUGUGAAAGCCCUCAGCUCAACUGAGGAAGUGCGCCCGAAACUGCAGAGCUUGAGUGCCGGAGAGGGUGGCGGAAUUCCCCAAGUAGAGGUGAAAUUCGUAGAUAUGGGGAGGAACACCAGUGGCGAAGGCGGCGACCUGGUCCGAUACUGACGCUGAGGUGCGAAAGCGUGGGGAGCAAACAGG